AGUGAACGCUGGCGGCAGGCCUAACACAUGCAAGUCGAGCGGCAGCGCGGGGCAACCCUGGCGGCGAGCGGCGGACGGGUGAGGAAUACAUCGGAAUCUACCUUCUUGUGGGGGAUAACGUAGGGAAACUUACGCUAAUACCGCAUGAGACCUGAGGGUGAAAGCAGGGGACCGCAAGGCCUUGCGCGAGAAGAUGAGCCGAUGUCCGAUUAGCUAGUUGGUGAGGUAAAGGCUCACCAAGGCGACGAUCGGUAGCUGGUCUGAGAGGAUGAUCAGCCACACUGGAACUGAGACACGGUCCAGACUCCUACGGGAGGCAGCAGUGGGGAACUAUUGGACAAUGGGCGCAAGCCUGAUCCAGCCAUGCCGCGUGUGUGAAGAAGGCCUCGGGUUGUAAAGCACUUUUGUUCGGGAAGAAAUCUUCCGACCUAAUACGUCGGGAGGCUGACGGUACCGAAAGAAUAAGCACCGGCUAACUUCGUGCCAGCAGCCGCGGUAAUACGAAGGGUGCAAGCGUUACUCGGAAUUACUGGGCGUAAAGCGUGCGUAGGUGGUUCGUUAAGUCUGCCGUGAAGCCCCCGGGCUCAACCUGGGGAUGCGGUGGAUACUGGCGGACUAGAGUGCGGUAGAGGGUGGUGGAAUUCCU
rnacentral:rRNA from 1 species